GUAGUCCACGCCGUAAACGUUGGGCGCUAGGUGUGGGACCCUAUCCACGGGUUCCGUGCCGCAGCUAACGCAUUAAGCGCCCCGCCUGGGGAGUACGGCCGCAAGGCUAAAACUCAAAGGAAUUGACGGGGGCCCGCACAAGCGGCGGAGCAUGCGGCUUAAUUCGAUGCAACGCGAAGAACCUUAACAAGGCUUGACAUACACCGAAAACUCGUAGAGAUACGGGGUCCUUCGGGGCGGUGUACAGGUGGUGCAUGGUUGUCGUCAGCUCGUGUCGUGAGAUGUUGGGUUAAGUCCCGCAACGAGCGCAACCCUCGUUCCAUGUUGCCAGCACUUCGGGUGGGGACUCAUGGGAGACUGCCGGGGUCAACUCGGA
rnacentral:rRNA from 1 species